GAAAUGCGAUACUUGGUGUGAAUUGCAGAAUUCAGUGAAUCAUCGAAUCUUUGAACGCACAUUGCGCCCUUUGGUAUUCCGAAGGGCAUGCCUGUUCGAGCGUCAUUUCACCACUCAAGCCUGGCUUGGUAUUGGGCGCCGCGGUCAAUCCGCGCGCCUCAAAGUCUCCGGCUGAGCUGUCCGUCUCUAAGCGUUGUGAUUUCAUUAAUCGCUUCGGAGUGCGGGCGGCCGCGGCCGUUAAAUCUUUCACAAGGUUGACCUCGGAUCAGGUAGGGAUACCCGCUGAACUUAA
rnacentral:misc_RNA from 1 species